AUUGAAUGCUGGCGGCAGGCCUAACACAUGCAAGUCGAGCGGAUGAAGGGAGCUUGCUCCUGGAUUCAGCGGCGGACGGGUGAGUAAUGCCUAGGAAUCUGCCUGGUCGUGGGGGAUAACGUCCGGAAACGGGCGCUAAUACCGCAUACGUCCUGAGGGAGAAAGUGGGGGAUCUUCGGACCUCACGCUAUCAGAUGAGCCUAGGUCGGAUUAGCUAGUUGGUGGGGUAAAGGCCUACCAAGGCGACGAUCCGUAACUGGUCUGAGAGGAUGAUCAGUCACACUGAGACUGAGACACGGUCCAGACUCCUACGGGAGGCAGCAGUGGGGAAUAUUGGACGAUGGGCGGAAGCCUGAUCCAGCCAUGCCGCGUGGGUGAAGAAGGGCUUCGGAUUGUAUAACACUUUAAGUUGGGAGGAAGGGCAGUAAGUUAAUACCUGGCUGUUUUGACGUUACCAACAGAAUAAGCACCGGCUAACUUCGUG
rnacentral:rRNA from 1 species